rnacentral:rRNA from 1 species
UGAGGAAUAUUGCGCAAUGGGGGCAACCCUGACGCAGCAACGCCGCGUGAGUGAGGAAGGUUUUCGGACCGUAAAGCUCUGUCGAGCGGGAAGAAAUGCAUGGUGGCUAAUAUCCAUCAUGCUUGACGGUACCGCUAAAGGAAGCACCGGCUAACUCCGUGCCAGCAGCCGCGGUAAUACGGGGGGUGCAAGCGUUGUUCGGAAUUAUUGGGCGUAAAGAGCGUGUAGGCGGCUGAAUAAGUCAGAUGUGAAAUCCCUGGGCUUAACCCAGGACGUGCAUUUGAAACUAUUCAGCUUGAGUAGGGGAGAGGAAAGUGGAAUUCCUGGUGUAGACGUGAAAUUCGUAGAUAUCAGGAGGAACACCGGUGGCGAAGGCGACUUUCUGGCCCUAUACUGACGCUGAGACGCGAGAGCGUGGGUAGCAAACA